CCUACGGGAGGCAGCAGUGAGGAAUAUUGGUCAAUGGACGCAAGUCUGAACCAGCCAAGUCGCGUGCAGGAUGACGGCCCUAUGGGUUGUAAACUGCUUUUGUACGGGGAUAAACUCCGACACGUGUGUCUUGUUGAAAGUAUCGUAUGAAUAAGGAUCGGCUAACUCCGUGCCAGCAGCCGCGGUAAUACGGAGGAUCCGAGCGUUAUCCGGAUUUAUUGGGUUUAAAGGGUGCGUAGGCGGUUUGAUAAGCUAGUGGUGAAAUGUCGGGGCUCAACCCCGAAACUGCCUCUAAUACUGUUGGACUAGAGAACAGUUGCGGUAGGCGGAAUGUAUGGUGUAGCGGUGAAAUGCUUAGAGAUCAUAAAGAACACCGAUUGCGAAGGCAGCUUACCAAACUAUAACUGACGUUGAGGCACGAAAGCGUGGGUAGCAAACAGGAUUAGAUACCCGAGUAGUC
rnacentral:rRNA from 1 species